UAUUCUGCCCAUGCGGGAAGGAUGAGAAGCUUCGACUAAGGUUCGAUUCGAGCGUAGCGAGAAAGCGUUGCCGCAGGCAACGACCCGAAGGGCGAAGCGCGCAGCGCUGAGUAAUCCUUCCCCCACCACCA
rnacentral:sRNA from 2 species